rnacentral:rRNA from 1 species
UACGGAGGGUGCAAGCGUUGUCCGGAUUUAUUGGGUUUAAAGGGUGCGUAGGCGGCCCUGUAAGUCAGUGGUGAAAUACUGCAGCUUAACUGUAGCAUUGCCAUUGAUACUGUAGGGCUUGAGUACAGAUGAGGUAGGCGGAAUUGAUGGUGUAGCGGUGAAAUGCAUAGAUACCAUCAAGAACACCGAUUGCGAAGGCAGCCUACUAAGCUGUAACUGACGCUGAGGCACGAAAGCGUGGGGAUCGAACAGG